GGGGGGGGGAUGAAUGGAGGAGGGGGAGGUCCGCCGGGGGGAUGUGAACGACGACGGCCCGGAGAACCACUACAUCGAUUGGGAGAAGGUUUGGGAGGUUUUGGUGCCAAGGGUAAUUCACCGGUUCAUCACCAAGGCACUCAUGCUCAUGGUCACAACAGGGAGGGCCCUCUCACAAUUAGUCAAUGAGUGAACCCAUUGGAAAAAAUUCCUGGCUCCGCCCCUGGUAUCAUGGGGCCCUAUUUUGGCUGGGCCCUGGGCCCUGGGCCGUCUCAUCUUUUGCCAUGGCCUAGAGCCAACCCUACCAUCAUGUGCACUACCAGCAAGGUACGUUAGACCAGUGGCGGAGCUAGCUGAGAAUUUUAGCUGAGAAAAUAUGCACCUUUGGGGAGGCCAAAUAACAACAAUCUUCUUAAUUUAAGGCUCUAAUUUUUUUUUCCUUCAGUAAACAUGCAGCAGCUGGGGGGCAGCGGCCCCCUCAGCAUUGCACAUAGCUCCGCCACUGCAUGCUGCCCCCCUCAGCAUUGCACAUAGCUCCGCCACUGCAUGCUGCCCCCCUCAGCAUUGCACAUAGCUCCGCCACUGCGUUAGACCUCAAAAGUUCUUUCCUAAAUUGCAGGCACUCAUGCUCAUGGUCACAACAGGGCAGGGGCGGACCCACGUUGAUGUGAGUGGGGGCCAUGGCCCCCACUCAAGUUUUGAAAACCCUGUAGAAUUUGAUUGUAUAUUUAGAAAAUAUAUACUAAAACUCUCUAAAUUUAUACAAAAUGUGUUAAAAUUUACCCCCACUCAAGUAUUUUGCCCCCACUCAAUAAAGUUUCUAGGUCCGCCCCUGCAACAGGGAGGACCCUCUCACAAUGAGUCCAUGAGUGCACCCAUUGGAAAAAAUUCCUGGCUCUGCCCCUGAUGAUAUCAUGGGGCCCUAUUUUGGCUGGCCCCCUGGGCUGUCUCAUCUUUUGCCAUGGCCUAGAGCCGACCCUACCAUCAUGUGCACUACCAGCAAGGCACUCAUGCUCAUGGUCACAACAGGGAGGACCCUACCAUAAUUGGAGCUAUUCAGGCUUGUCAAGGUCCAGUGGUGAUAGUGCUACAGAUGCAUCUGCAUGCAUGAUAUGUCUCCCUCAUGCCUCCACUCAAUAUUGUGGCUAGGUCCAACUUGUGAAGGACCUAGCCAGCCAUAAAGUUUGCCCUGGAAACCAUGGG